UGUGACCUCUGAUAGUUUCACAGAACGUAAUUAUAACAGCAUUUAAUAACGUUAUUGAGCGUGUCUUUCUAGACACAAACUUCUUCAGCAAAAUGAAUUCAACUAUCAUGUCAUCUUCAUGACAGUCAUUAUAGGAUUGAAAUAAGUUCAAAAUAUCUCUCUGGGAGAGUCUUCUGCUGGGCUGUCUCUAUACUAUCUCCCCCAGUCAUAAUAUUGUUAAUAAGAUCAGAAACUCUCCAGGAGAGUGAAUGUACCUUCCUGUCCUUGUGGGAUGGUCUUGAUUACAGUCAUUAUAAGACUAUAACUGUGUUCGCAAACAUUUCUCCAGAAGAGGACCUUGUAAGAAGGUCUUUUUGUACCACAGCAUUGCUUUCUUAAUCCUCCCUUCAAUU
rnacentral:lncRNA from 1 species